GUAGGAGGCGAGCGUUAUCCGGAUUUACUGGGUGUAAAGCGCGUGCAGGCGGUCGAGUAAGUCGAGCGUGAAAGCUCCCGGCUCAACCGGGAGAGGACGUGCGAAACUGCUGGGCUGGAGGCAGGUAGAGGCGUGUGGAAUUCCGGGUGUAGUGGUGAAAUGCGUAGAUAUCCGGAGGAACACCGGUGGCGAAGGCGACACGCUGGGCCUGACCUGACGCUAAGACGCGAAAGCAUGGGUAGCGAACGGGAUUAGAAACCCCGGUAGUCCAUGCCGUAAACGAUGCAGACUAGGUGUUGAGCGUGUGAAAGCGAGCAGUGCCGAAGCAAACGUGAUAAGUCUGCCACCUGGGGACUACGGCCGCAAGGCUAAAACUCAAAGGAAUUGACGGGGGCCCGCACAAGCAGCGGAGCGUGUGGUUUAAUUCGAGGCUACACGAAGAACCUUACCUGGGCUUGACAUGACGGUUGUAGGGAAUCGAAAGAGGACCGACCCUUCGGGGAGCCGCCACAGGUGCUGCAUGGCUGUCGUCAGCUCGUGUCGUGAGAUGUUCGGUUAAGUCCGGUAACGAGCGCAACCCUCGCCGUUAGUUACAAGUGUCUAGCGGGACUGCCCGUAGAAAGCGGGAGGAAGGUGGGGAUGACGUCAAGUCAGCAUGGCCUUUAUGUCUAGGGCUACACACACGCUACAAUGGCCGGUACAAUGGGUCGCCAACCCGCGAGGGGGAGCUAAUCCACCAAAGCCGGUCUCAGUUCGGAUUGUAGGCUGCAACUCGCCUGCAUGAAGUCGGAGUUGCUAGUAACCGCAGGUCAGCUAUACUGCGGUGAUACGUUCCCGGGCCUUGUACACACCGCCCGUCACGUCACGGAAGCUGGUCAUGCCUGAAGUCGGUGGGCUAAC
rnacentral:rRNA from 1 species